rnacentral:lncRNA from 1 species
CCAAAGAGGUCUAAUCCAGAGCACGCAGAAGCCUCAGUGAAAGGAGCUGCUGUCACUCAGUCACUCACACCCUCUCUCUCCCUCACUCACUGCUGUGGGAGGAGCCCUGCUGGAGGAAGCUGUAUGACUGAUGCUGAGAGGCUGAGAAUGGAUCUGCAAGGAGUGUGUACGUUACUGAGGAACCAGGUUUCCAGAGGCGGCUGAAAAAGGCUACUCGACUUCUGCUGGCUGCAAGAAUAUAGACACAGACUAAGACAGACGGACAGGCGGACAGGCGGACAGAUGAUCUCGGAGCUCGGGAAAGGACACGCAGCAGAGACAGAGGAGACUAGAGAGCCCGCGAAGAAGAGAAACUAACUGCAAACCUAAGUUCCUCCUCCGGCUUUCAUCUCGGUUCGCUCUAAGGAAUGAAACCUUUCCAGCUUGAUCUGCUCUUCGUCUGCUUCUUCCUUUUCAGCCAAGGAUUCUGUUCUUCUGUAACCAUGAGGAGUGUGGGGAAUUGGAUAGCAUAGAGAGAGCUCCCUUUGGGUGCCUCCAAAAGUAUACUGUGAAUGCCAGGGGCAUCAAGAAAAAUGAAGAAAGAUAAAGUAAGUUGUGGAGCCUUUGAUGGAAGAGCUUUAGAGAAAGGAUUUGGGAGGGGGCAAAAACUUUGAAAACACUGGCU